rnacentral:lncRNA from 1 species
GACGCCUCUCGGCGGAGGGAGCAGGGACCCGCAGCUGGAGCGGGGGCGCUCGGGGCGCCGGCCCCGGGGUCGCCGCCGCCGCCGCCGCCGCAGGGACGCGCGCCCGCACCCUCCGGCUCCCCUAAGCCGCAUAGCCCGGCCCUCAGCCCGAGAGGACGAAAAUUAAACCCCAGCUUCCACACAUCACGUUGGAAAAGAGAAUGUCUAAUGAGGCGAAGAAGACAGUCUUUCCCCUUCGUGGCUCAGCAAGAACCAGGAUGAGGUUGAGCAAAGACAGCAGCAGGUGGCACUUCCCCACCUCCAUCCCAUGUGGGUCCCUGCCUAAGGAAAAUGACUGAGUCCAGAUUGCCUGCUUCCUGAAAGAGCAGAGACAAGCGCUUCCACAAGGAGCCCUUGCAGAGAGUGUGGUCAAAGUCAAAUUGGCCUCUGUGGCGGCCACCUGCAAAUGGUAAAAGGACCAAGAUGCCUUGGGAGAGAAAAUGUCAAGAGAGUUGUAUUUAAAUACCUUAACAAUUGCUUGAUUUUAAACAAAUUGCUUAUCCUUCAGAGUUUCUCGGCCCACUCACCUCUAAACUGGGAUCAGAUACUACCUCAUGGGAUGAGCUAAGGGUAUGAACUGCCUGAAAACGGCCCCUCUCUCCUUCAACCAAUCUGAGACAGGUGGUAGGAGCGAACAUGUUGCCUUCCUCGAGCCCACCUCAAGGCAGAAAUAAGGGAUUCCUGGCCAACCCGAUUUAGAACAACAAUCUAGAGAGUGUUUGUGUGGGAAGCGACAGCAAAAGCUUGCAAACUCCUUGCGCCCUUCUUGGGUUUCUUUGUGUGUUCUUCUCUCCUGCUUCCUGCACACCCAGUGGUGCCAGGCCCGGGAGGACUGAGUAGACUGCCUCGCCCCUUUCUGCAGCCUGGGAGGAGCCGGUAGGCGUCUCUGCAGCCCAGAGCCGCAGCCCACCUCCACCGCCAGGGGUCAGCAGAGUGUCGUGAUUGCAGCCCGAGUUGAGGAGGGGGCUAGAGAAAGGAGGGGCAACUAGGAGAGGCCGCGAGAAUGCCUGUACAAUUCCUCAUUAAAUCGUUUUCAGAACC